rnacentral:rRNA from 1 species
CCCUGCCUUUUGUACACACCGCCCGUCGCUACUACCGAUUGAAUUAUUUAGUGAGGUCUCCGGACGUGAUCUCUGUGACGCUUUCGGGUGUUACGGUUGUUUCGCAAAAGUUGACCGAACUUGAUUAU